rnacentral:tRNA from 1 species
GCCCACGUAGCUCAGUUGGUAGAGCACGUCCUUGGUAAGGACGGGGUCACCGGUUCAAGUCCGGUCGUGGGCU